rnacentral:tRNA from 1 species
GGUAUAGCUCAGUGGUAGAGUGCUUGCCUAGCAUGCAUGAAGCCCUGGGUUCCAUCCCCAGCACCA